rfam:Caryophanon tenue strain DSM 14152 DSM_14152_R1_001_contig_5, whole genome shotgun sequence.
GUUAAAUAUACACAAGUACGGUUCCUUAAACAAAGGAUGAAAAGGGAAAACGGUGAAAAUCCGUUGCGGUCCCGCCACUGUAACUACGUAAAAAUUUGUUAGAUGCCACUGCUAUUUGCGGGAAGGCGACAAGUUUUGCUAAAGAGCGUAGAAGCCAGGAGACCUGCCUACUUGUUUUUUGCAGC